CAGGCCUAACACAUGCAAGUCGAGGGGUAGAAGGAGCUUGCUCCUUUGAGACCGGCGCACGGGUGCGUAACGCGUAUGCAAUCUACCUUUUACAGAGGGAUAGCCCAGAGAAAUUUGGAUUAAUACCUCAUAGUAUAUAUCAUUCGCAUUUCUUGAUAGUUAAAGCUACGGCGCUUAGAGAUUGGUGUGCGUCCGAUUAGCUAGUUGGUAGGGUAACGGCCUACCAAGGCGACGAUCGGUAGGGGGUGUGAGAGCAUGACCCCCCACACGGGUACUGAGACACGGACCCGACUCCUACGGGAGGCAGCAGUAAGGAAUAUUGGACAAUGGAGGGAACUCUGAUCCAGCCAUGCCGCGUGAAGGAUGAAGGCGCUCAGCGUUGUAAACUUCUUUUGGAUGGGAACAAUAACUUCUACGUGUAGGAGCUUGAGGGUACCAUCAGAAUAAGCACCGGCUAAAGCCGGGCCAGCCGCCGCGGUAACAC
rnacentral:rRNA from 1 species